rnacentral:misc_RNA from 1 species
GAUGAAGAACGCAGCGAAAUGCGAUAAGUAAUGUGAAUUGCAGAAUUCAGUGAAUCAUCGAAUCUUUGAACGCACAUUGCGCCCGCCAGUAUUCUGGCGGGCAUGCCUGUUCGAGCGUCAUUACAACCCUCAGGCCCCCGGGCCUGGCGUUGGGGAUCGGCGGAGCCCCCCGUGGGCACACGCCGUCCCCCAAAUGCAGUGGCGGUCCCGCCGCAGCUUCCAUCGCGAAGUAGCUAACACCUCGCGACUGGAGAGCGGCGCGGCCACGCCGUAAAACACCCAACUCUUCUGAAGUUGACCUCGAAUCAGGUAGGAAUACCCGCUGAACUUAAGCAUAUCAAUAAGCGGAGGA